UCCACAUUAACACACCCUAAUCCAGCCACCUUUGAAACUCCCCACCUAUGACCACAUGAGUCUUUGGGGGCACCUGUAUACAAGCCAUAGCAACAUACAACUGUUUUUGUUUUGCUUGCUUGCUUGCAUUUUCUUUCUUUCUUUCUUUCCUUCUUUCUUUCUUUCUUUCUUUCUUUCUUUCUUUCACUUUGCUUUUUUGAGACAGGGUCUCACUAUGUAAUUUAGGCUGACCUUGUCUUGAACUCAUGGUGAUCCUCUUCCAUCACCUUCCAAGUGCUGGGAUUACAGGCUUGCACCGCCCACACCAGGCAGUUCUGUUCUCUUUUACUGGGCUUUAAUGUGGAAAUCUAAUCUGAAUCAUAAAUAAUAUAUGCACAGAUAUAAGCAGCAGCUGCAAAAGGCACUUCAACCACUUCUAGCUUAUCUUUCAUCUGUUGGCUCAUGGGCUUUAUGCGAAGUCUCACCGUGGCAUAGCACUGCUUUGCUUGAGCAGUUUCUCUUGACAAGGGUCUUCACUACUUUAUCAUUGUUAUUAUUGUGUCUCAGUCACAACAGAUUCAGGACUCCCAUACGUGCAAAUGUCUUGUAGCCUGGUGCCAAGAGCAGACCUCAGGCCCUAAAGAUCAUGUGAUUAGGACAAUGGAAAAACUAGCAUUUAGUUUAUUGCUGGCAUUUUAAAAAAUUUGCUAUAUAAUUAAAGGACCUCUUAAAUGUCUUAAAAUAUGCAUAUUGACAGAAAACAUAAAUUUUUAAAUACUAAAUAUUUUUUAUUGGUGAUGGCCAUCAAGAACAAAGCCCAAAGACUUCCAGUGGAAAAAGUGAACUGUUUCCCUUUUAGGUGGAUCAAAAGGAACCCUAAUAUCUCUUUCAUUAGCAUAUUAAAGUAGUAGCAGCGUUGAAUGUCUGAAAGGAAAAGUGCACCCAUUUAUGUUAGCAGCACUCUAGGUGAACAUCAGAGCUGUUACAUGGACCCAGGGGACUCUCUGGUGCUAGGAUCCAAGACUUGUUGAACUGGAAGGGAGCUAAAAGUUCUACCUCUCCGAGAGCAGAAGUCCUUUCUAUGAGAAUAUGAAUUGAAUUCUCUUUUCUGUUAUGCUCUGAUGGAGUCUGUGUGUACUUUGAUGUGCCCAUGACGGCUGACUGAGCCCCUAACUGUUUCAAAUAGCUUCAGGGUGUGUGUGGUCAUUGUUUGAGGAGAGAAGGAGGGAGUCCUGGCUACAAAAUAUAAUUGUGACGGUCCUGAUCAUGAGUCAUUGGGGUCAUUUUGUGGUUGAGAAAUGACACAUUUAUAGCACAAGGAAUAUUUGUUUCCGAAGAUGUGAAGGCAUAAUACAGAGAAGAAAGCAGUUAUAAAGUAGCUAUUUCAGGAACUCUGAGUCUGUCUGGGGUUGGCCAUGGGAUCAUAUCCAUUGCUGUGGAUAUGCUGCUUGGUCCCUGUUUCUUCUAUUUGCCAGACAUUUAUUGAGCACUUACGAUUGUGCUAACUACUGGAGAAUUCAAAGAUAAGGUAGUCUUAGCAUCUGCCGACAACCUAGAAAGAAAUUAUAAUACAGUGUGAUACAUGUGUGUCAAGAGUAUUGUAAAGUGUCAUGGAACUCAGAGUAAGGAGCAGCUGUCCUUGCCUGGAAGACUUGACAGAGAUGUCUGAAAGCCACAUUUGAGCUGGAGUGUAAAGGUUUAGUAAGGUCCAUCGGACAGAGAAGAUGAGAUGUGGCAUCACUGGGCCUGAAUGUAGAAGCAUAGAGCUCUCAGAGGCCACCACCUAUUUAGAAAAUGACAGCUAGUACAGUAAGGCUGAAGUGUUGAGUAUAUGGUGAUAGGAUGACAAAAGAAACAUCUUUGUUGUGCUGAGGGAUUGGUUGGGUUUUGUCUUAUAGGCAGAUAGCAACCUGCAGAGACCAGAAGGUCUUUUCAGAAAAAUCAGACAAAAAACAGGAAGGAAGAUAAACAACAUUAGGAGGCUUCUUGGUAUUACAUGAAGAGCUCGUGGUAUUGGGCCUGGAGAACUAGAUUCCUCUGUCAGAAGAGAUGUUGAAGAGAAGUUGAAGAAUCCAAUUGAAGAUCUUGCAUUAAGUUGUUCAAGUCUCUUUAAAGCAUCCUCCAGUCCUUUGUGUUUAUCAUAACAUUGCCAUUUUUGAAGAGGUCGAGGAAGUUUUACAGAAUGUCCCUCUGGAUUUUGUGCUAUCAUUAGGUUCAGGUGCCUGAGCCUCGGCACUUUCGAGAAUGGGCAGAAACAAGCAGGCUGCAUCAUCAGCCACUUGCUGCAGAUCCCUCUCCUGGUGGGCUCUGAGCUGAAGCAGGCUGGAUGAUAGCAAAGAGGUCCCAUUCCCCACAGGACAGGCCAGCAGAUCCACAAGGGCCUUCACCUGCUCAGCUGGAGAGCCAGUACCACGUGCCUGGAUGCCCUCCCCGCCCGUCCGCACCUCCUGUUUCCUCAUGGAAUCCAGGAUGGCAGUCAGAAACUGUGAAGACAGGGCCCAAGCCUGCUGCCCAGUACGUAUCUGUCCAGUAGCCCAG